GUGCCAGCCGCCGCGGUAAUACAGAGGGUGCGAGCGUUGUCCGGAAUCACUGGGCGUAAAGGGCGCGUAGGCGGCCCGGUAUGUAGGGGGUGAAAUCUCGCGGCUCAACUGCGAGGCUGCCUCCUAAACUGCCGGGCUCGAGCACAGUAGAGGCAGGUGGAAUUCCCGGUGUAGCGGUGGAAUGCGUGGAGAUCGGGAAGAACAUCGGUGGCGAAGGCGGCCUGCUGGGCUGUUGCUGACGCUGAGGCGCGACAGCGUGGGGAGCAAACAGGAUUAGAUACCCUUGUAGUCC
rnacentral:rRNA from 1 species